rnacentral:sRNA from 1 species
UUUUUCUCAUCUCAUACCAGUCAUCUUCUGUAGGAUCUUCAGUCUGAGCUAGCCUUUCUGUUGUUCUCUUCAUGUGGUCAAAAGUUCUCUUCAGCUUGCUAACUUGAGAAGUAUAGUUAACUCUUGGUGGGGUUCCAGCUUCUGUUUCUUCAUCAACAUCCAUGUUCUGAACCCCAAAAUUCUGAACUCCUGUUGUUGAUUUCCAUGAAGAUUCUCUGAUGUCAAACUUCAUCUUGAUGCCUUCAAGGUUCAGAUUAAUUUUUCCGUUCCUGACAUCUAUGACUGCUCCAGCUGAAGCUAAGAAUGGUCUGCCUAGGAUCAGGGGAUCCUUGCCUUUUUCAUCUACGUCCAAUACCACAAAAUCUGUAGGUAUCUCAACAUUUUCAAUCUUGACAGGCAGAUUUUCUAUUAAACCAUGAGGAUGUGCUACAGAACCGUCAGCUAAGAGUAAAGCUAAGUUGCAGAACUUGUAUUCCAUAAUCCCUAGCCUUUUAGCUGUAGAGAGAGGCAUAAGACUAACAGAUGCUCCCAAAUCACAAAGGCACCUAUUGAAUGUCAAUGGUCCUAGAGAGCAUGGCAGAGUGAAUGAACCGGGAUCAUCAAGCUUUUCUUGGAUGAUUUUCUUCUUGUAUGUUUCUUGGGUAGAGGCACUGCUGAUCAUCUCUUGAUUCUGAUCCUUCUUGAGUUUUUCAAUUUUGAACUUUUUUCCAGGAUGGUGAGUAUUCAGCAAAGGUGUGUGCUUUAUAGUCCAGAUGAAUUGCUGGGUGGCAGGUGCAGCAAUUUGAGUUGAAUCCCCCCCCCCUUCUUGAAUCAUAUUUUCCUCAGUAUGGGGAGUCUGACGACUUGGUGGAGACUCAUCUUCUUGGUGGAUGGUGAUAGCAUUACCAGUAGCAUAGUCCUUAGGAUUUUGGACUGCUUUCCCUGGAAGUUGUUGAGGAUGCUCCAGAGCAGAGGUUGAUGCAAAUUGACUCUCCACAUACUUGAUUUUUGAAUUCAAAGCUUCAAACUUGACAUUCAGAUCGUUGUAAGAACAACCGAUCUUGUUAUGUAAUUCAGCUAUCUUCAUGUCAAAAGCCAUGGCUCCAGUAGCUUGUCCUUGGAUGAUCUAUUGAAUGAGUUGCUUAAUUUCAGGAUCCUGAGCUGUUGGGGCUGGUUCUGGUUGUUGAGUGAACCCUGGUGGUGGAUUCUGCUGUUGGUAGCCUCCAUUAAACUGUUGUUUAGGGACAUAACCUUGGUUGUACUGAACAAAAGGCUUGGACUGAUUCUGUUGAGGUGGAUACACUUGAUCUUGGGGGUUAGCUACAUUAGUGCUUCUUUAUGAGAGGUUUGGGUU